GACGAACGCUGGCGGCGUGCUUAACACAUGCAAGUCGAACGGAAAGGCCCUGCUUUUGUGGGGUGCUCGAUUGGCGAACGGGUGAGUAACACGUGAGUAACCUGCCCUUGACUUUGGGAUAACUUCAGGAAACUGGGGCUAAUACCGGAUAGGAGCUCCUGCUGCAUGGUGGGGGUUGGAAAGUUUCGGCGGUUGGGGAUGGACUCGCGGCUUAUCAGCUUGUUGGUGGGGUAGGGGCUUACCAAGGCUUUGACGGGUAGCCGGCCUGAGAGGGUGACCGGCCACAUUGGGACUGAGAUACGGCCCAGACUCCUACGGGAGGCAGCAGUGGGGAAUAUUGCACAAUGGGCGGAAGCCUGAUGCAGCAACGCCGCGUGCGGGAUGACGGCCUUCGGGUUGUAAACCGCUUUCGCCUGUGACGAAGCGUGAGUGACGGUAAUGGGUAAAGAAGCACCGGCUAACUACGUG
rnacentral:rRNA from 1 species